UAUUUGGGGAAUUCGAUAAAAUUGGAACGAUACAGAGAAGAUUAGUAUGGCCCCAGCGCAAAAAUGACAUGCACAAAUCGAUAAUUUUUGGAGAAAAUU